GGUUAAGCGACUAAGCGUACACGGUGGAUGCCCUGGCAGUCAGAGGCGAUGAAGGACGUGCUAAUCUGCGAUAAGCGUCGGUAAGGUGAUAUGAACCGUUAUAACCGGCGAUUUCCGAAUGGGGAAACCCAGUGUGAUUCGUCACACUAUCAUUAACUGAAUCCAUAGGUUAAUGAGGCGAACCGGGGGAACUGAAACAUCUAAGUACCCCGAGGAAAAGAAAUCAACCGAGAUUCCCCCAGUAGCGGCGAGCGAACGGGGAGCAGCCCAGAGCCUGAAUCAGUGUGUGUGUUAGUGGAAGCGUCUGGAAAGGCGUGCGAUACAGGGUGACAGCCCCGUACACAAAAAUGCACAUAUUGUGAGCUCGAUGAGUAGGGCGGGACACGUGGUAUCCUGUCUGAAUAUGGGGGGACCAUCCUCCAAGGCUAAAUACUCCUGACUGACCGAUAGUGAACCAGUACCGUGAGGGAAAGGCGAAAAGAACCCCGGCGAGGGGAGUGAAAAAGAACCUGAAACCGUGUACGUACAAGCAGUGGGAGCACGCUUAGGCGUGUGACUGCGUACCUUUUGUAUAAUGGGUCAGCGACUUAUAUUCUGUAGCAAGGUUAACCGAAUAGGGGAGCCGAAGGGAAACCGAGUCUUAACUGGGCGUUAAGUUGCAGGGUAUAGACCCGAAACCCGGUGAUCUAGCCAUGGGCAGGUUGAAGGUUGGGUAACACUAACUGGAGGACCGAACCGACUAAUGUUGAAAAAUUAGCGGAUGACUUGUGGCUGGGGGUGAAAGGCCAAUCAAACCGGGAGAUAGCUGGUUCUCCCCGAAAGCUAUUUAGGUAGCGCCUCGUGAAUUCAUCUCCGGGGGUAGAGCACUGUUUCGGCAAGGGGGUCAUCCCGACUUACCAACCCGAUGCAAACUGCGAAUACCGGAGAAUGUUAUCACGGGAGACACACGGCGGGUGCUAACGUCCGUCGUGAAGAGGGAAACAACCCAGACCGCCAGCUAAGGUCCCAAAGUCAUGGUUAAGUGGGAAACGAUGUGGGAAGGCCCAGACAGCCAGGAUGUUGGCUUAGAAGCAGCCAUCAUUUAAAGAAAGCGUAAUAGCUCACUGGUCGAGUCGGCCUGCGCGGAAGAUGUAACGGGGCUAAACCAUGCACCGAAGCUGCGGCAGCGACGCUUAUGCGUUGUUGGGUAGGGGAGCGUUCUGUAAGCCUGCGAAGGUGUGCUGUGAGGCAUGCUGGAGGUAUCAGAAGUGCGAAUGCUGACAUAAGUAACGAUAAAGCGGGUGAAAAGCCCGCUCGCCGGAAGACCAAGGGUUCCUGUCCAACGUUAAUCGGGGCAGGGUGAGUCGACCCCUAAGGCGAGGCCGAAAGGCGUAGUCGAUGGGAAACAGGUUAAUAUUCCUGUACUUGGUGUUACUGCGAAGGGGGGACGGAGAAGGCUAUGUUGGCCGGGCGACGGUUGUCCCGGUUUAAGCGUGUAGGCUGGUUUUCCAGGCAAAUCCGGAAAACUAAGGCUGAGGCGUGAUGACGAGGCACUACGGUGCUGAAGCAACAAAUGCCCUGCUUCCAGGAAAAGCCUCUAAGCAUCAGGUAACAUCAAAUCGUACCCCAAACCGACACAGGUGGUCAGGUAGAGAAUACCAAGGCGCUUGAGAGAACUCGGGUGAAGGAACUAGGCAAAAUGGUGCCGUAACUUCGGGAGAAGGCACGCUGAUAUGUAGGUGAAGUCCCUCGCGGAUGGAGCUGAAAUCAGUCGAAGAUACCAGCUGGCUGCAACUGUUUAUUAAAAACACAGCACUGUGCAAACACGAAAGUGGACGUAUACGGUGUGACGCCUGCCCGGUGCCGGAAGGUUAAUUGAUGGGGUUAGCGCAAGCGAAGCUCUUGAUCGAAGCCCCGGUAAACGGCGGCCGUAACUAUAACGGUCCUAAGGUAGCGAAAUUCCUUGUCGGGUAAGUUCCGACCUGCACGAAUGGCGUAAUGAUGGCCAGGCUGUCUCCACCCGAGACUCAGUGAAAUUGAACUCGCUGUGAAGAUGCAGUGUACCCGCGGCAAGACGGAAAGACCCCGUGAACCUUUACUAUAGCUUGACACUGAACAUUGAGCCUUGAUGUGUAGGAUAGGUGGGAGGCUUUGAAGUGUGGACGCCAGUCUGCAUGGAGCCGACCUUGAAAUACCACCCUUUAAUGUUUGAUGUUCUAACGUGGACCCGUAAUCCGGGUUGCGGACAGUGUCUGGUGGGUAGUUUGACUGGGGCGGUCUCCUCCUAAAGAGUAACGGAGGAGCACGAAGGUUGGCUAAUCCUGGUCGGACAUCAGGAGGUUAGUGCAAUGGCAUAAGCCAGCUUGACUGCGAGCGUGACGGCGCGAGCAGGUGCGAAAGCAGGUCAUAGUGAUCCGGUGGUUCUGAAUGGAAGGGCCAUCGCUCAACGGAUAAAAGGUACUCCGGGGAUAACAGGCUGAUACCGCCCAAGAGUUCAUAUCGACGGCGGUGUUUGGCACCUCGAUGUCGGCUCAUCACAUCCUGGGGCUGAAGUAGGUCCCAAGGGUAUGGCUGUUCGCCAUUUAAAGUGGUACGCGAGCUGGGUUUAGAACGUCGUGAGACAGUUCGGUCCCUAUCUGCCGUGGGCGCUGGAGAACUGAGGGGGGCUGCUCCUAGUACGAGAGGACCGGAGUGGACGCAUCACUGGUGUUCGGGUUGUCAUGCCAAUGGCACUGCCCGGUAGCUAAAUGCGGAAGAGAUAAGUGCUGAAAGCAUCUAAGCACGAAACUUGCCCCGAGAUGAGUUCUCCCUGACUCCUUGAGAGUCCUGAAGGAACGUUGAAGACGACGACGUUGAUAGGCCGGGUGUGUAAGCGCAGCGAUGCGUUGAGCUAACCGGUACUAAUGAACCGUGAGGCUUAACCUU
rnacentral:rRNA from 1 species